CUCUGUGUGAAUGGGCUAAAAUCUUCGCAAUGAGUCUUCAAGACAGUGCGGGUUUCCGAACCGCACUGACCGACGAACAGAUCAGUGCGCUAUCAAUAGUGUACGUAUCAUCACUGUCAUUAAGUUUGAUUGGGAGUUUUUCCGUGGUGGUGGUGUCCAUCAUCAAAAGGCGGUAUCUGAAUGAACAGG